GGAUGUCGCCAAGUGGUAAGGCAACGGACUUUGACUCCGUUAUGCGUAGGUUCGAAUCCUACCAUCC
rnacentral:tRNA from 1 species